rnacentral:rRNA from 1 species
GACGAACGCUGGCGGCGUGCCUAAUACAUGCAAGUAGAACGCUGAAGGAGGAGCUUGCUUCUCUGGAUGAGUUGCGAACGGGUGAGUAACGCGUAGGUAACCUGCCUGGUAGCGGGGGAUAACUAUUGGAAACGAUAGCUAAUACCGCAUAAGAGUAGAUGUUGCAUGACAUUUGCUUAAAAGGUGCAAUUGCAUCACUACCAGAUGGACCUGCGUUGUAUUAGCUAGUUGGUGGGGUAACGGCUCACCAAGGCGACGAUACAUAGCCGACCUGAGAGGGUGAUCGGCCACACUGGGACUGAGACACGGCCCAGACUCCUACGGGAGGCAGCAGUAGGGAAUCUUCGGCAAUGGACGGAAGUCUGACCGAGCAACGCCGCGUGAGUGAAGAAGGUUUUCGGAUCGUAAAGCUCUGUUGCAAGAGAAGAACGAGUGUGAGAGUGGAAAGUUCACACUGUGACGGUAUCUUACCAGAAAGGGACGGCUAACUACGUG